AUGUGUAUAGAAAUAUCUUUUGGUUUUAACUUCAUCUGUAUAGUUAAUAGCAUGUUAAUUAAACUGAAGAAAUAAAAGUGCAAACGGAAGGAAGGAAUCAGAUUAAACAGUUUUGACACAAUAAUGUAUGAGAAAGGUUUUAAUAAGUCAGUUAUUCAUUCAAUAGAGUACCAACGUACUAGUGUGAGAAUGUACUUGUGUACUAUAGGAAAUAGUCUAUUAUAACCUGUAACAGGGAUGCUUUAAAAUUUUAACUAAGUUGAAGAAAACACAUACACACACACACACAUGUGUGUGUGA